GCCCGCUUGGCAUAGUGGUAUUGCGUCGCACUUGUAAUGCGAAAGUCGGCGGUUCAAUUCCGCCAGUGGGCA
rnacentral:tRNA from 1 species